rnacentral:rRNA from 1 species
ACAUGCAAGUCGAACGAAAAGCUCCGGGCUUGCCCGGAGUGGAAAGCGGCGCACGGGUGAGUAACGCGUAGGCAAUCUACCCUCAGCAGGGGAACAACCCCGCGAAAGCGGAGCUAAUACCCCAUAAUGUCCCUUGGUCGCAUGACCUUGGGAUCAAAGUUCAGGCGGCUGAGGAUGAGCCUGCGUUAGAUUAGCUAGUUGGUGGGGUAACGGCCCACAAAGGCAACGAUCUAUAGCGGGUCUGAGAGGAUGAUCCGCCACACUGGCACUGAGACACGGGCCAGACUCCUACGGGAGGCAGCAGUGAGGAAUAUUGCGCAAUGGACGAAAGUCUGACGCAGCCACGCCGCGUGCAGGAAGACACCCCUCCGGGGCGUAAACUGCUUUUAUAUGGGAAGAACACCCUGCCCUGCAGGGUCUGACGGUACCAUACGAAUAAGGACCGGCUAACUCCGUGCCAGCAGCCGCGGUAAUACGGAGGGUCCAAGCGUUGUCCGGAAUCACUGGGUGUAAAGGGUGCGCAGGCGGGCUUGUAAGUCAGAGGUGAAAUCCCCCGGCCUAACCGGGGAACUGCCUUUGAUACUGCAAGUCUUGAGUCUUGGAGAGGUUGCCAGAAUUCGUGGUGUAGCGGUGAAAUGCGUAGAUAU